rnacentral:rRNA from 1 species
UACGUAGGGGGCUAGCGUUGUCCGGAUUUAUUGGGCGUAAAGAGCGUGUAGGCGGUUAGGUAGGUCCGUUGUGAAAACUCGAGGCUCAACCUCGAGACGCCGAUGGAAACCAUCUAACUAGAGUCCGGAAGAGGAGAGUGGAAUUCCUGGUGUAGCGGUGAAAUGCGCAGAUAUCGGGAAGAACACCCGUGGCGAAGGCGGUUCUCUGGGACGGUACUGACGCUGAGACGCGAAAGCGUGGGGAGCGAACAGG